rnacentral:rRNA from 1 species
UACGUAGGGGGCUAGCGUUGUCCGGAAUCAUUGGGCGUAAAGCGCGUGUAGGCGGUUCGGUAAGUCCGCUGUGAAAGUCGGGGGCUCAACCCUCGAAUGCCGGUGGAUACUGUCGGACUAGAGUACGGAAGAGGCGAGUGGAAUUCCUGGUGUAGCGGUGAAAUGCGCAGAUAUCAGGAAGAACACCAAUGGCGAAAGCAGCUCUCUGGGACGGUACUGACGCUGAGACGCGAAAGCGUGGGGAGCGAACAGG